rnacentral:lncRNA from 1 species
UCAGCAUAUUCAAUUUUUGAUAUGAACCUGACAUGGGUACAUGAUAAUGAUGCAUCAGAAUCUACACCUCUCUAUUCAGAUAAACAUUAUUUUUUAUUUUAUUUUAUUUUAUUUUUAUUGUUGUUUUCAUAAAUAAUGGAUUUUAAUAAAAUUUAAAACAAAUUUUACUGUUUCAUUCCAAACAAUCAAAUGAAAAAUUUCAUUGGUUUUUCUAAUGAAUAAAACAUUCAACAUUCAUUAUUCCAAAGAUGCAACAAAUUUAUGUUUGUACACAAUAGAAGUCAAAUAACCAUUAGCAUGGUAUUGCAGCAAAAUCCAACACUUGUCUCAAAUUUGCAUUUGAAAUAUAUAUAUAUAUAUAUAUAUAUAUGUAUGUAACAACAUACAAUGUAAGC